AGCAGCCGCGGUAAUUCCAGCUCCAAUAGCGUAUAUUAAAGUUGUUGCAGUUAAAAAGCUCGUAGUUGAAUUUCGGGGUCAGUAGGCUGGUCGUGCCACAGGUAUGUACUGGUCUCACUGAUUCCUCCUUCCUGAUGAACCGUAAUGCCAUUAAUUUGGUGUUGCGGGGAAUCUGGACUGUUACUUUGAAAAAAUUAGAGUGUUUAAAGCAGGCUAACGCUUGAAUACAUUAGCAUGGAAUAAUGAAAUAGGACGAUCGAUCCUAUUUUGUUGGUUUCUAGGAUUGACGUAAUGAUUAAUAGGGAUAGUUGGGGGCAUUAGUAUUCAAUUGUCAGAGGUGAAAUUCUUGGAUUUAUUGAAGACUAACUACUGCGAAAGCACUUGCCAAGGAUGUUUUCAUUAAUCAAGACGAAAGUUAGGGAUCGAAGACGAUCAGAUACCGUCGUAGUCUUAACCAUAAACUAUGCCGACUAGGAUCGGAUGAUG
rnacentral:sRNA from 1 species